GUGAUGACCGUGUCAACCGGACGCGAUGGUAAGGCGGACAGGAACGUUUUUCCGGUUUCCAAUCCUGGCCAACGAAAUGGCAGACGAGCGCCUGUCCCAUCCGGUCC
rnacentral:sRNA from 1 species